rnacentral:rRNA from 1 species
AACGAACGCUGGCGGCAGGCUUAACACAUGCAAGUCGAGCGCGUAGCAAUACGAGCGGCAGACGGGUGAGUAACGCGUGGGAAUCUACCGUACCCUAUGGAAUAGCUCCGGGAAACUGGAAGUAAUACCAUAUACGCCCGAAAGGGGAAAGAUUUAUCGGGGUAUGAUGAGCCCGCGUUGGAUUAGCUAGUUGGUGGGGUAAAGGCCUACCAAGGCGACGAUCCAUAGCUGGUCUGAGAGGAUGAUCAGCCACAUUGGGACUGAGACACGGCCCAAACUCCUACGGGAGGCAGCAGUGGGGAAUAUUGGACAAUGGGGGCAACCCUGAUCCAGCCAUGCCGCGUGAGUGAUGAAGGUCUUAGGAUUGUAAAGCUCUUUCACCGAUGAAGAUAAUGACGGUAGUCGGAGAAGAAGCCCCGGCAAACUUCGUGCCAGCAGCCGCAGUAA